UCUUUUCAAGAGACAAAAAUAAACGCCGAACAGGUGGCCACAGAGUGCAUGUGCUAUGAGGGACCCGUCCGACAUAUACCCUCCCAGAAGAGCAGGAAAGGGGGUUCAUAAAGAUGUUCUUCUGAUGGGGAGUGUCCUAUAAGGCCACCUUCACAUGAAUGGGGAGGAACUGAGGGGAAAAUUCAGAGAGAACAUGAAAGAGCUCCAAACGCGAGGACCUAUAACUCCCCAAGAAUAACAUCUUCCAGAAGAACUAGACAGAAAACUGGGUGUCUGGGAACCCUGAAAUCCCUGGAGGAGUAGCAUCAUCAUGACCCUCUGUGUUCCUUUUGGCGAAAGGACUUGCUUCCCUUGUUUGUACAAUUGUUUGUGUUUGUUAAAUAAAUAAAACCCUUUUCAUAUAUCUUUGAAAGUACAUUGGCUCUAUUAUUUUAUGAUUACAAACAAUGCUGCAGUCAUCAUUCUUGUACACUUC
rnacentral:lncRNA from 1 species